rnacentral:sRNA from 2 species
AUAUCUCUCUGUACGGGAAGGAUGAGAAGCUUCGACUAAGGUUCGAUUCGAGCGCAACGAGAAAGCGUUGCCGCAGGCAACGACCCGAAGGGCGAAGCGCGCAGCGCUGAGUCAUCCUUCCCCCACCACCA